rnacentral:rRNA from 1 species
AACGAACGCUGGCGGCAUGCCUAACACAUGCAAGUCGAACGAGACCUUCGGUUCUAGUGGCGCACGGGUGCGUAACGCGUGGGAACCUGCCUUUAGGUUCGGAAUAACUCAGAGAAAUUUGAGCUAAUACCGGAUGAUGUCUUCGGACCAAAGAUUUAUCGCCUUUAGAUGGGCCCGCGUUGUAUUAGCUAGUGGGUGGGGUAAAGGCCUACCAAGGCGACGAUCCAUAGCUGGUCUGAGAGGGUGAUCAGCCACACUGGGACUGAGACACGGCCCAGGCUCCUACGGGAGGCAGCAAUGGGGAAUAUUGGACAAUGGGCGAAAGCCUGAUCCAGCAAUGCCGCGUGAGUGAUGAAGGCCUGAGGGUUGUAAAGCUCUGUUACCCGGGAUGAUAAUGACAGUAUCGGGAGAAUAAGCUCCGGCUAACUACGUG